GGGGAACGUGUGUUCUAAAUAAAGCAUUUAAGAAACCAAUUUUAAGCAAGAACGACAAUAACAAAAGUAUUUUAUACCGAUUCACUUAAUCCUGAGCGACAUACAGCCUCGCUUAAGAACUCUUGAGAGGUUCCACUAAUCUUAUCCGAGAUUACAAUCGAGUAUAAACCACUGUUGGUAUACAUAUCGAGUAUUCUAACCACUCUUAGUCCCCCU
rnacentral:lncRNA from 1 species